AGAGUUUGAUCCUGGCUCAGGAUUAACGCUGGCGGUGUGUCUAAUACAUGCAAGUCGAACGAGACUUCGGUCUAGUGGCGGACGAGUGAGUAACACGUUGGAACCUGCCCCGAACUCAGGGAUAAGCACUGGAAACGGUGUCUAAUACCGGAUAGUCCCGAAAGGGUAAAGAUUUUUCGGUUCGGGAGGGGCCUGCGGCCUAUCAGCUUGUUGGUAAGGUAAUGGCUUACCAAGGCUACGACGGGUAGAUGGUCUGAGAGGAUGAUCAUUCACGAUGGAACUGAGACACGGUCCAUACUCCUACGGGAGGCAGCAGUAGGGAAUCUUCCGCAAUGGGCGAAAGCCUGACGGAGCAACACCGCGUGGUUGAUGAAGCCCCUUGGGGUGUAAAGACCUUUUCUGAGGGAAGAAUUCUGACGGUACCUUAGGAAUAAGCACCGGCUAAUUACGUGCCAGCAGCCGCGGUAAUACGUAAGGUGCGAGCGUUAUCCGGAAUUAUUGGGCGUAAAGCGUCUGCAGGUUGUUUAUUAAGUCAGACAUUAAAGACGGCAGCCCAACUGCUGGAAUGUGUCUGAAACUGAUAAACUAGAGACAUAUAGAGGUACGUGGAAUUCUGCAUGUAGGGGUAAAAUCCGUUGAUAUGCAGAGGAACACCAAAAGCGAAAGCAGCGUACUGGGUAUGUUCUGACACUCAGAGACGAAAGCGUGGGGAGCGAACGGGAUUAGAUACCCCGGUAGUCCACGCCGUAAACGAUGAUCACUCGAUGUUAGGCUAUCCAAUCGGCCUAGUGUCUAAGCUAACGCGAUAAGUGAUCCGCCUGGGGAGUACGGUCGCAAGAUUAAAACUCAAAGGAAUAGACGGGGACCCACACAAGCAGUGGAGCAUCUGGUUUAAUUCGAUAAUAAGCGAGGAACCUCACCUAGGUUUGACAUCCCGAUGAACGCUCUAGAAAUAGAGAACUGCCUUUUGGAUCAUCGGUGACAGGUGUUGCAUGGUUGUCGUCAGCUCGUGCCUUGAGGUGUUCGGUUAAGUCCGUGAACGAGCGCAACCCACGUCGUAUGUUGUAUUUUUCAUACGAGACCGCCGGUUACAAAUCGGAGGAAGGUGUGGAUGACGUCAAAUCAGCAUGACCCUUAUACCUAGGGCUACACAGGUGCUACAAUGGCCAGUACAACGGGUAGCCAAGCAGCAAUGCGGAGCCAAUCCCUUAAAACUGGUCCAAGUUCGGAUUGAGGGCUGCAACUCGCCCUCAUGAAGUUGGAAUUGCUAGUAAACGUGCAUCAGCAAUGGCGCGUUGAAUAUGUUCCUGGGUCUUGUACUCACCGCCCGUCAAGUCAUGGAAGAUAGGGGCGCCCGAAGUCCUUCGGUUUACUGGAGGCCUAAGGUGAAACUAUUGACUGGGACUAAGUCGUAACAAGGUAACC
rnacentral:rRNA from 1 species